rnacentral:misc_RNA from 1 species
ACAGGACCUACACACACCCUAUCCGUGUCUUAGCGUCCUUACUGCCUGUGUCCUGCCGUCCUGCUGUCCUGCUACCCUGCUUUCCUGCCCUGCCUUAUCCUGUACUCGCAUCCUUCCUUCCUUCCUUUAUAAUCGUAUAAAAGGAAACACGUGCCAAGUAGUAAAGAGAGAACAAGAAAAUAGAAAAUAGAAAACAGUGAAGGAUUCGGUCUUUUUUGUCCUUAAUGCCAGUGUCCUUCUCUCCUUCCCUCCAUCAGUUUAAAUGUCCUUCCCUCCUUUAUCCUGCAUCUGUGUCCCUCUUUCCCUCUCUCCUUCCUUCCCUCCCUCCUAAUUGUAAGAGAAAAGAUAACACGCAGGAAAAUUAAGUGACAAAACCACAAAAACAAAAACUCAUUAAGGACUCCAAGUGAAGGAGGGGCGAAGGAUACACAAACACGUCCCUAUAAAAGCGAGAACAGCACAUUUAGGAUUCCAAGUGAAGGAGAGGUGAAGGAUACCAAAACACGUGCCUAUCAUUCAAGUAUGCAUACAAGUAAUCCUUCAGGCGCCCGACGGAGGCAAGGCAAGGAAUGCAACACUCACCACAGACUCCAGGGCGCGGCGGGGGCUGGCUUAACCUCACACGGGGCUUCAUUCCUUACACGCCGGGUUAUUAAGUACACCACACACUCCUGCAUAGACCCCAGCAGGAGGCGGCGAGUGGUGAGGCGUCCCGGGGUGCUCGUUUACUGCAGGAGGUCCGCCCUUAUCUCCUCCAGGCUGAGGAAGCGGCGGCGAUGGGCGGGAGGGCCAGGCAGGCAGGGUAAACUUCACACUCGUCUCCUGUUGCCUUCCCGCACACGGCCGAGACACUGGCGGAAGAAGCGAGUCUGCCAGGUGUCUCAGGAGCCUCGCAGUGAAGUGAAGCUGAACCCCGCGAGUCACGAGUCACUGGCGCGGUAUUUGAAUAAGAGGCAAGACCGAGAAACAAGCGGGCGUGAGGCGAGGGCGGUGAGGGCGGAGAGGGCGGUGAGAAGGCCACAGGGACGCCGCCAGGAGUGCCCCACGAGAAGGAUGCCGAUAAGUGAGUGGAAAAUUGUGCUGCGGGAUAAAACACGGGAAGGAAACGAGGAGACUGCAAUGGUGACGCCUGGCAACUGUCCCGGCGACAUGGCGGUGACAGAUGAGACACACGUUGCGCACCACUCCGCCUCGCCAUCUAGCACGAUUCCUGCGCUCUCUGCCACACAACCUACGCUCUUCAAGCCUCUGAAGGAUAACAAGUGCUACAGUCCUCCUACAAAGAUUGAAAUAGGACGCGAAAUCAACCCAUCGCUCCCUGACACUCAAAGUUCGUGGUGCUUCCCUGUUCUGCCCGGGCGGUGCGUGGGGAGGCGCGGCUCUCCAGUGCGCAGCUCUCCCCGCGCAGCCACGCACCACACACUGCGCUUCGAAGUGGUGGUGGAGAAGGCGAGGCUGCAUCACAGGUUUCUGAAGGGCGAGGAGCCACAACACGUGACAGCCUCACCUUGGAGCAACCAGAUGUCUUCAGAGUGCCAAGCUGAAAGUAGCGAGGCACAAACAAAACAGCGACUUUCCACUACUACUUCUACUCCUCAACUCAAGUUUCUGCCGCUUAAACUAUCCCACAUUCACCUUCGGGACAUCUGGCAGACUCACGCGGCUCAAACACCACCCAACACCACCCAAAACACCACGGCAACCACCUGCACAACCACCUACCAACAAACACACACAGAAAACAAAGGCGACGGGAACAAACCUGAACGAACACCACUGAACACCAAGGAACGAGAGGAAAGAUCGAGCAGCACCACACUUAUUGGCCCUCACGAGACUGCUGGAGAGGCUGAGGCAGAGGGACAUAGCGUGGACUGCCCACAUGACCAACAAAGUGCAAGAGAGACAGUGGUGUAUGAGAUCGACUCGCCAGACACGGUACCACUGACACACGCCACUCUGAAAGCCAAGGAGAAGUUUAUGAGACCGCUACGAGGGAGAGACCGCACUGAUCUCUCCCAGCAGACCGAGAGCGAGACCGAAAGCGAGAAAGGCGCCAAGAGUAAGAAGAAAGCGAAAGACGAAGGAAAAACCGCGGGAGACAAACCAGGAAGAACAAAUCGCAAGAAAAGGACCCAAAUGUAACGGAGCUCAGAAAAACCGACAUUUUCAGCAAUGACAUCAUCUCGGAACUUCUAAAACUGUACGUCCCGCGAAGACCAAGGAAGAAAACCCAACAGGAGGAAGAGGAGAAGACGAAGAGGAGUAAGAGAAGGAAGAAGAGGAAGAAAGGAAGCAAUGAGCGGGGGAAAGAACAGCGAGAUAACCUUCUAGUGUCUCUAAAUCGUAACACUGCCUUCUGGUACGACGUUACUUCGAGAUUAGCGGUCGUGAGUCAGAGCAAGCACGACACUACGACCUCAACCCUCCCCUCGCUGCCUCCCACGACCACAAACACAGGGAGGAAGUUCAAAGCAGCGGUUAUGAGUCUCAAGAACGAGGGAAACUUAGAGAAAACAGGAGGAGGAGGGGAAGAAGUUGAAGAAGGGAAACUAACCUCACUGACUUCCUCCUCUUCCCCUCGUCCUCUACCUCCCCUCUCUGCCGCCAAAGUCCCCUCUAAAUUCUACACGGUUGCCUCGGCCUUCGUGACAGCCGAGAGGAAUUACCACAGCCUCCUGCCUCCCCUCAGCCCCACGUGGUCCGAGACUCUGGAUUCCCUCUUCCCCUCACUCCCUCAAGCGUCGGACAGCGUGGACUCAGGCCUCGGGGGGGAGAAGCAACGACCAAAACGACGCUCACGACGACCCCCGAAGAAGAAGGCGGAGGAGGGAGGGCUGGACGACCCGGGGCAAACUGCGGUGGCGGCAGCAGGGGACAGCAGG